GUUGCAUUGCUAGGAAAAUAAUUCUGCCUGGGGAUGUUUAGAAGCCAGGAUGUCAAGGAUGGUGCUGAGGAUUGAAUGGUGUUAGCAGUAAGUUUACAUCCAUUAUCUCCUUGUCUGUGAGCUGUAAGGGAGCUGAGAUCCGGGCUGUAGUACCUCCUCACCUCACAAGGAGAAUGGAAGCAGAAGAGACUAGAAGGAUAUAAACCAGCUUUUUGGCUCUGACCUUUCCCUCUGAAGGCAUGUGUCUCCUGUGCAAAACACUGCAAGCCCAGCCUGGGUGCUGAGGUUGUUGGCCUUGCUGCUCCAUCAGGCUUUGGGGAGCUGCUUGUUGUUCCUGUUUACUGGUGUUCUGUGGAGUCUGAGAGUGCAGGAACUGGAUUCCUUUCAGGUGAUAUUAAGCACAGUGAAGUAUUCAGUCAUGCCUGCAGUUUCCAGAGGAGCACACAGCUAAGGAAGAGGAAGAGCUGUGAGGAUGACAAGCUGUGGGAAGUCCAAGUGUACAGGAAAAGAGUAUGGGCCUGGAAUGUCCUUAUGAUCUCUUCAUUGAGAAGGCCAACUGGGAGGACUUGCAGAGGAGGAUCCUGACUGUGGUGCAAAGAGUUGCAUUGCAGCACUUACAGCACAACCAGCUUGUCAGAAGUAACUGGGCAGGAUUCCAGAAACAAAACUCCCAGUAGGAGUGUGAAUCGUGUAGCAGUGGCUAGUUGCCUUCAGAGGGUGGCUCUACUCCAUGGACAUCCCAGUGGUCAUGGGAGACCUCACGUACUUGCAAAAUGGUCAGCAAUUUUUGAGCUGAGCAAAUCAGAUUGGCAAAUGGUGGCAGCAAGCUGGCACCUUUUGAUAUUGAGAUUCUCACUCUUAAGCCAUUUAAUUAAGGUAUUUUCCUGCUCUGCCAUAACUUCUAGUUGCCUGCUGUGAGAAACUGUUACCAGCCAGCUCAAUUAAGCUGAUGAAAAACUCAGAGGAACCUGUUGACCUCUCAGAAGGAACCAGUACCUCCCAAACUCUAAUCAGCUGCUUCCAGGUGGAACAGGUUCAUGCACUGGAGCAAGUUUUUUGGAGAAGGUGGUUCUACUAAAACUACAUAAAUACCCUGCUUGCUACUCUGUAAAACUGCCCCGAAUAUAUCAGUGUUUAGAGCAGAUACCUACUGAGUAGUUAUAGCCUGCCUGUGUAGAGAAAAAGUUAUUCAGACUUUUUACAGAAAGUAUGUUGUUCUUGUCAAGAAGUUAUGAAGUAAGAUGGGAAAGAUUUAUUAAUUACCUAGAGGGAAAGUCACAAAUAUGCUGCAUGAAGAUCCAGCUGUUAGUUUGAACUUAGUUUUCAUUCACUGUGUCAUAUUUUUCACUGUAUGUUUGGAUGAAUCCAAGUUCAGUGUGCAGGUAAUACCAUGUGCUCCAGUAGAUACAUAUCAAUUUGGAAUUGUGGUAUAAAGUCAUAGAUUAUCCCAAGUUGGAAAGGUUGUGCAAGAAUCAUCAAGUUCAACUCCUGAGUCUGCACAGGACCACCCAAAAAUCAGGCCAUGUAUCUGAGAAUAUUGUCCAGAUGCUUCUUGUGCUCUGGCAGCUCAGUGCCAUGACAACUUCCCUGGUAUCCAAUCUGACCCUUCCCUGUCAGAGCUUCAUGCAGUUCCCUUGGGUUCUAUUGCUGGACACCACAGAGUGAGUAGAUCAGUGACUGUCUCUCUCCUCCUUUUCAUGAGGAAGCCAUAACCUUAUCAGCCCACCAAUCAGCUAGCCUGUUUGGCCCCAUCUUCACAGUGAUAUUUGAAUACUGAGGCCUAUACCACAGAUGCAGACAAGUUAAUUGCCUGUAUCUUGUAAUGGUCUAUUGAUGUUUAACAGAUAAAGCGCCCCUUAAGCUGAAGAUGGAGCAUGCAGCUAUUCUGUUUUUAUUUCAA